AGGUCGAGAGAGCGUUCGGAACCAAAAAGGUGCAUGAUGCCGUGAUGGCAGGAGGCUAUUGCGCGAUGGCAGCUUUGGGGAGUCGAUAACGCCAUCGCGCAACGUCUCUUCGGGAGGAAAGGAGAGUCGUGGUUCGCUUGCCAUCUCCUCCUCAGAGAGCGUUUCGAAACCCGAAAGUGUGUGUGACACUGCGACUGAAGGAGGCUAUUGCAAUAUUGCAGCUUUGGGGAGUCAAUAACGCCAUUGCGCAACGUCUCUUCAGGAGGAAAGGAGAGUCGUGGUUUGCUUGCCGUCUCCUCCUCAGGGGCGGAGAGAGCAUUCGGAACCAAAACCGUGCAUGACACCGUGAUUGAAGUAGGCUAUUGCGCCAUUGCCGAGGACUCUUUGGCGGCUUCGGGGAGGCAAUUGCACCGUUGCCGAGGACUCGGGGAGUAUUUCCAAUUUGCUCGCCAUCCCCUUCCUUUUCCAAACUUCGGAAGGAUGCUCUGACUCUGCAAGAGGAAACCACGAUCUUGGGAAAUUCAGAGGAUCGAGACCUUCCUGCCGUUUGGUAGCUUUUGGGGCGAAACAGGAGAGGAAAAGGGAGUGUCCGUAUUUCCUUGCAACCUUCUCCUCCUUUUGGGUCAAGACGUUGAUAGCGGAGAUGCGCAAUAGCGUUAUUGCGCCAUGGCAAAGGGGGCGAUAACGUGUUGGCCAAGGGCACAAAUUGGCCUCAAACAGAAGAGGAAAACGAAGUGUCCAUAUUUGCUUCCUAGUUUGGAUCAGGAUGUUGUCAUCAGAGGUGCGUGAUCCUGCUAUUGCGCAGCAGUGACGGAAGCAAUACUGUAUUAAUACAGGACAACCAAUUGAUUGGUGACUUUUGGGGUCAAACAGAAGGGGAAAAGAAAGUGUCCGUAUUGCUUCCCGCCUCUUCCGCCUUAGGAUCAAAACGUUGUCAUCACAGGCUUGCUGCUUCUUCCUCUUUCGGGUCAAGACGUUGUCAUCAGAAGCGCAUGAUCCUGCUAUUGCACAAUAGUGAUGGAAGCAAUACCGUAAGGACAACUGAUUGAUUGGUGACUUUUGGGGUCAAACAGAAGAGGAAAAGUAAGUGUUCCUAUGCGCUUGCCACCUUUGCCUCAUUCAUAUCAAGACAUUGUCAGUUGAGAUGUGCAAUAGCGCUAUUUUGCGGUGCAGAUGUGCAAUAGCAUCAUAGCUGAAGGCAAAUACUCUGCAACUUUGGGGGAGGAAAAGGAAGUGUUCCUACGUGUUUGCGACCUUCUCCUCUUUCAGGUGAAGACAUUGUCAGUGUAAAUGCACAAUAGCACUAUUUUGUGGCGUUGAUACGCAAUAGCACUAUUUUGUGAUGCUGAUGAGCAAUAGCGUCAUAGCCGAAGGCAAAUACUCGGCAGUUUUGGGGAAGAAAAAUAAGUGUUCGGAUUGCUUCCCACGUUGUCCUCAUUCAAGUCAAGACAUUGUCAGUGCAGCUGCGCAAUAGUGCUAUUUUACUGUGCUGACGCGCAAUAGCAUCAUAGCCGAAGGCAAAUACUCGGCAGUUUUGGGGAAGAAAAAGAAGUGUUUGGAUUGCUUUCCACAUUCUCCUCAUUCAGAUCAAGACCUCGUCAGUACAGAUGUGUAACAGCGUUAUUUUAUGGUGCUGAUGCACAAUAGCGCUAUUUUGUGAUGCUGAUGAGCAAUAUCGCCAUAGCCAAAGGCAAAUACUCAGCAGUUUUGGGGAGGAAAAAGAAGUGUUUGGCUUACUUGCCACGUUCUCCUCAUUCAGAUCAAAACGUUGUCAGUGCAAAUGCGUAAUAGCGCUAUUUUGUGGCACAGGUGCACAAUAGCACCAUAGCCGAAGGCAAAUACUCGGCAGUUUUGGGGAAGAAAAAUAAGUGUUCGGAUUGCUUCCCACGUUGUCCUCAUUCAGGUCAAGACAUUGUCAGUGCAGAUGCGCAAUAGAGCUAUUUUGCUGUGCUGUUGCGCAAUACCACCAUAGCCGAAGGCAAAUACUCAGCAAUUUUGUGGAAGAAAAAGAAGUGUUUGGAUUGCUUCCCACGUUGUCCUCAUUCAGACCAAGGCCUCGUCAGUGCAGAUGCGUAAUAGCGCUAUUUUGUGUUGCUGAUGCACAAUAGAGCUAUUUUGCUGUGCUGAUGCGCAAUAGCACCAUAGCUGAAGGCAAAUACUCAGCAGUUUUGGGAAAGAAAAAGAAGUGUUUGGAUUGCUUCCCACGUUGUCCUCAUUCAGACCAAGGCCUCGUCAGUGCAGAUGCGUAAUAGCGCUAUUUUGUGUUGCUGAUGCACAAUAGAGCUAUUUUGCUGUGCUGAUGCGCAAUAGCACCAUAGCUGAAGGCAAAUACUCAGCAGUUUUGGGAAAGAAAAAGAAGUGUUUGGAUUGCUUCCCACGUUGUCCU
rnacentral:lncRNA from 11 species